rnacentral:lncRNA from 1 species
GAAAAAUCCUAACCCUUCUUCCCUGCAUGCUAAAAUCAGCUAACAGAGAUAAACUAGUAGCUGGUUCUUAAAAGAGGGAUUUGUUUACACUACGUAAUUUUUAUCAGUGGGACAACCUGUUUGCCUGCCUGAGAUCUUAUUACUUAUUAAUGCAUAUUACCUGUGAAUAAGAAAAAGGUGCUUGCAUUUCAGAAGUUUGUGUGAAUCACGUGUCCUCCUCAUUUCCUACCAGAGUUCAGAUACAGAGGACCAACUAUACUUGUCGGACUCUGAAACUUCAACUUCUCAGCUCCACUUGAACCUCAGGCACAGAGAUGGAAUCUGAAGCGGACCAAAGGGUGGCUUCUUGGAGAUGGUGAGGCGUGGCCACAGGAGGAACAGGAUGCAUGACAGCUGCCUCCCACACAGAUAUACCGCAUCUAAGAAGAUGUCGCCACCCCCAUGAGAAAUAUCUACUGUAUGCUCAUGUUUGAAUGUGUGUAUAUAUAUAGGUUCAAUAUAUACAUAAGUUGCAAAGAACUGAAGCAGCAAAAUUAGAGAAUGCUCAAUAUUUCUGACAUGCUUGGAAUAACAAGAGAUGUAAAAGCAACUCAGAAUUAGAUUCCCCUUUUACGAAGCCAGAUAAUGUGGCUGAAUCACUGAAGGAUUUCAAUCUGAGGGCACAAAGUAGGAAGCAAAUUACUAUUUACUCUCUGGUAAGAAAAACAGAGUUAGACAAGGUCUGCCUUUGAAUCACAAUAGUUGUAUGUCUAAAUGGCGUUUCUUUCUGGCAGUUAGUAAUGGGACCUGGCAGUUAAUGAUGAUGAUGACAAACACUUAGGGAGCACUCACUAUGUGCCCAGCACAGGUCUAAGUACCUUCUAUAGUCCAACUCUUUUAAUCCUCAAAACAGCCCUAAGGCAGCUCUUAUUUCUAUUGCACAGAUGAGGACACUGAAGGACAUAUUAGGUACUUAGAGAAUAUUUUGUGAAUGGAAUUAAUAAGCAGAACUAUCAUCAAUCACUUUAUUUUUCUUUUGCUCUUAAUAACAAUU